rnacentral:rRNA from 1 species
CACGUAGGCGGCUCGGUAAGUCUGAUGUGAAAGCCCUGGACUCAAUCCAGGAAGUGCAUUGGAUACUGCCGGGCUAGAAUGCAGGAGGGGUAAGCGGAAUUCCAGGUGUAGAGGUGAAAUUCGUAGAUAUCUGGAGGAACAACGGCGGCGAAGGCGGCUUACUGGACUGAUAUUGACGCUGAGGUGCGAAAGUGUGGGGAGCAAACG